AGAGUUUGAUCCUGGCUCAGAAUCAACGCUGGCGGCGCGCCUAACACAUGCAAGUCGAGCGAGAAAGCAGGAGCAAUCUUGUGAGUAAAGCGGCGUACGGGUGAGUAACACGUGGAUCAUCUACCUCUUUGUGGGGGAUAACCCUGGGAAACCGGAGCUAAUACCGCAUAAGUCCGAGAGGAGAAAGCAGCAAUGCGCAGAGAGAGGAGUCCGCGGCCGAUUAGCUAGUUGGUAGGGUAAGAGCCUACCAAGGCAACGAUCGGUAGCCGGCCUGAGAGGGCACACGGCCACACUGGCACUGAAACACGGGCCAGACUCCUACGGGAGGCAGCAGUGGGGAAUCUUGCACAAUGGGGGCAACCCUGAUGCAGCGACGCCGCGUGAGCGAUGAAGCCCUUCGGGGUGUAAAGCUCUUUCGGCAGGGAAGAUUAUGACGGUACCUGCAGAAGCAGCUGCGGCUAACUACGUGCCAGCAGCCGCGGUAAUACGUAGGCAGCAAGCGUUGUUCGGAGUUACUGGGCGUAAAGGGUGUGUAGGCGGUUCCCUAAGUUUGGUGUGAAAUCUCCCGGCUUAACUGGGAGGGUGCGCCGAAAACUGGGGAGCUAGAGUACUGGAUGGGAGAGUGGAAUUCCUGGUGUAGCGGUGAAAUGCGUAGAUAUCAGGAGGAACACCUGUGGUGUAGACGGCUCUCUGGACAGUAACUGACGCUGAGACACGAAAGCGUGGGUAGCAAACAGGAUUAGAUACCCUAGUAGUCC
rnacentral:rRNA from 1 species